GGGAAAGAGUGCAUGAAGUGUCCUUGACACUGUAUUUGUCUUGACUCACUCUCUCCUGCUUCCAAGUUGUGUUCUACUUACUGAGAUGCUCCAAAUCCAUUAGCACGUGCCAUGGCCAAGUAGUCUGUCCUAAAACUUUGGUGCAUUACACCACCAGUGUACACUUACCACCACCAUACAAUUGCACACACGUACAAGAGCAAAUAAUGAUCCCAAUAGUGUUUUUAAUUGAAAAGCAUAAAUUUGGCCUGCUAAAUCUAUUAACGAUUUGUUUUAAUUAGGAACCCAGCUGCUUCCUGAGAUUUCACAGUCUGGGUUUCAGAACUUUAACCGUACUGAAAAUGAGUCUCAAGUGAGUUGCUUUGAGUCUUUCAGCUCAGCAUUUUUACCAACUUCUUGGAAGAGGGAGGUUUCAAAAACUUUCCACAGUGUGCUCGUCAUUCCUCUUCUGUCCUUGGCUCAUACUGACACAUAGAAGGCAAAAGCAGCCUUUGGAUUUUAACACGUGAAGAUGAGGAGGGAAGUGUCUCCCUCCUUACAGUAUCAUAGAAUGGUCUGGGUUGAAAAGGAUCUCAAAAAUCAUCUAGUUUCAACACCCCCUCCCCCCCCCUUGCUAUGUGCAGGGUUGCUGACCUGACCAGACCACCAGCCCAGGUUGCCCAGAGCCACGUCCAGCCUGGCCCUGAACAUCUCUAGGGAUCCACAACCUCUCUGGGCAUCCUGUUCCAAUAGAGAAUAGUUGAAGUCCACUACUGGUCUUACAAAUGUCAUUCUUGGAGAGCCUCACAUCUGACCAACAUACUGCCACCCAAACCAUUCCUUGCCCAGCACAGAGAGUGCAGUUACUUAAUCAGACUUUCUGGUAGGUAAUAUAACUGUUACUUUCUUUUGUUGAAAUCUGCAAGUUAAAUUCAGGACAAAGCCUGCCAGAUUUAAGGAUCCCAUCUUUCAGCUCAGAGAAGCCAGGCAGUAAAUGUCACCUUUUCUUUGGACAGUAAUUUAAUGAGAUCACACACUAAUGAACUUCAGGGCAUUCCAACACUCACUCCUGCUAUGUUUGUAUUGCCAGCGCUAGCCCGUUGCUGAACUGACAAAGCACGCAUCAUGCUGGCAACAGUGUAUGGUCACUUAAGGCAAGUCAUCCUCCCAAAUAGCCGAAGUUCUUCCAUCUUCAUAUAAGACAACUUUUAUAAUGUUUUUUUUUUUUCCUUUUUCUCUUUGCAAUCUAAUGCUGGUUUAGUGGCUGACACCCUUACAGCUACUUAUGACUCCAGCUCGUGGAAAAGUUAACAAGAGGAGGAGAGAAAGCAAAGUCAAGAGAGGCAGCAAUGCAUGCCAUCUUCCGUGCUGGUGAAGGACAAAGCAGCCCUAGUUUUAACUGUGCCCACUUCCUCACAGCCAGAUCCUUGCUUUGCGCCUAUUUGGAGGCCCAGGUUUUCGGGGCGUGAUCUUCAUCAAAGACAAUUAGCUGCCUGCUGGUCUCUUCCAGCCAGUCAAAAGGUGAAAGCUGGGAUAAGAUAUCUUCUUCGGCUUUGCAUCUGCUACUCCAGAACUUGUUCAAAUAGCACAACUGGUGACCACAUUAGUUUAUUUUAUCACUCAAGCUUUGAUGCACUGAUAACAAACAUAUCAGCAAAACUCUGGGACACAUUCACUAAUAAUAAACAGAUAACUAAACCCUGACUGAGAGUUUGUUGGAAAAUGGGAAAUGCUUUCUCCAUAACAUAUUGUUGCAAAACUAUAAAAAUAAAUAGUGAAAUAUUUUCAUGUAUAACCAAAUAUGACAUCAAAUAAAUAAAGCAUUCUAGCCUCCUCAAGCAGGGGGGAGACCAAUCGAAGAAGUUCCAUGCCUGUAAUAAGUUCCUGCAGACCAAGAGCAGAGUCAAUCCAAGGACUUCACAGAGAUCCAUUGAUCAGAUCUACAGGCACAGUUUUAAGGUUCUUCUCAUCCAUUUUUUUCUGUCAUGAUACUCUGAUGUGCCUUCCUCUGCUCUUAAGGUCUUGACAUUACAUGAGAUGCUCAGGCUGCAUUGAAGAUCUCUAGUCUGUACCCUGGAAAAGAGAAGUUUGAAAUAUAAAACACAAUCUUUCUUCAAUAAUUACUUUGAUAUUAUAAACCUCAUGAUAUUAAAACCUGUCUCACAUUUUUGGACAGGGUAUGCCUUUAUGAGUUUUAUAUACUACUUCAAUAUAUACCAUCCUAUAACUGAAUUCUGAACUUGUUUUUAAGUUAUUACUUAAUUUUCCCAAAUCCAACAUAAAAUUUUUCAAGUACAGAUUUAAGAUUUUUAUUUGGCAUUACAAACUCUUAACCAAUUAAGGGGAAGAACCCAGCAAGGACAUGCUCCUUUUAACUGUUUUAUCUUUAAAUAAAUAAUUUUGAAGGCAAAAGAAGGAAUGACUUGAACAAUCCCACUUAAUCUCUGAGUGAUACAUUGUCUUCUCCAGACUUCAAAACAACGCCUAUAGGCUUUGCUUCAUAGGCCAAUCUUAAUUAGCUGGGUGGUGCAAGCUCUCACUCAUUAGGACACUUAAUGGCUUGCUUAGCUCUGUAUGCACUGAACUCCCAGCUGCUCAACCCUGCUGUUUGCCAGCCCUGUGGCUGGGGGAACUCUGCACACCUGUGAGCCUACAGCAGUGUUGAAACAGGACUGGGGAAAGCUGGGGGCUGGAAGAAGCAUGGAGCUAGCUCUUGGUUCCAACGGCUGUGUCCAAACCUCAGCAACAAAGCUCUGAGUUACUGCAUAGAGAAAUGUAAAGCCUGGACAAGAAAAGGGUGGGAAGGGAAUAGGUUUGCAUAAAGGCAAACCUGUGGGUACCUCUGCUGUGAAAAACCUGCUGAUUCAAGAGCACUUGCAGGGAGGGGCCACCUUGCAUAUUCACUACAGAAUGGCUGAGAUUCCCUUCUGCUAAUACUCCCCUUUCCCCCUGCUCCUAAGGGCUGCUUUGCCACCCUAUAUGAAGCCCUUUUUGGCUCGUUCACUAAAUCUUCAGCCUGCCUGCUCAGGGUUAAGUACCCUCAACUAAGGUAUGAUCCUCCACCACGUGCUCUGGUUCCAGAGUUGACUCAUAAGUAGAAGAGUCCUUAAGCCUCAACAAGCAGAUUGAAAACCUCAGUAAACAAGCUCAAGAAGAGAAACUCAGCAAGUCCAAGUCUCCAGCAACACUGCAAUGAAAUGCACUUCAUAAAUAUAUAUUUAAAAGGAGGCUUUUGGUGACUUUGUAAUGAUUUACACUAUGUAUAUGUUGUUUCUCUUUAAUUCUCCUACCAUCCUAGAACCCUUCCCAGUCCAAGGUGGGUUUAAUUAAAAUUCAGUCCGGUUGUUACAAUCCCAUAAUUAAAUAUGGAAGCCACUAUGCAGAAUUACUCAUUUUUCCUCUAAAAGAAAAAAAAGAGUGAAUUCUUGUUAAAAAAAAAAAAGUGUUUCUGCAAAUCUAUCAAUAUAAAUGUUCUGGAGGUAUAUUGGAUAUAAACUUACAUAAUCUUGGGUAUAUUUAAAAGUUUCCAUGGAAACCAUUUCUUUGUCAAAAGAACAACGUUGCUGUGGGUUAUUUGUAACACACACCUGGUCUCAUCCAGCUCACCUAUCAGGACCAGGAGGUGACUCCGCUGCUCACCAAGCAAACUCACUUCGGUGCUUUCAGUUUCUCACAGCCAGAACAGAAGGAGCACUGUCACAUUCCUUCAUUAUCCGUAAAUAGAAACAAUAACAGUAAAUCAGUUUAGGUAACCAGACACCCUGAAAACAUCCAAAGGCCAGCCUGCCUCCCUCUCCACGCAGGGACCAUCCGGUUAUGUGGGUGGGCAAGGUCCCAGGUCUCCUUAAGCAAAGAUUAUUAUUCUGCAUGUUGCAGGCUUUCCCUCCAGAGUAAGCUGCUCUUCUAAUAAAUGCUGUUCCGACAGCAGUGUUGCAGCUUGCCAGGAGCAGCUCCCAGUGCAGGGCGGCUGCAUCUGCAAAGGCAUCUUGAAAGUUGCAGUUCUAAUUCUCACACCAUUUGUCUUCCCUUUUACCCAGUUCUUCCAGGGGAAAGAAGAGCCCAGUCUGACCUUCCUCCCACCUCCAGAAACACUCCAAUAACAGGAGCUGUAAACUGUAGCUGGGUUUCUAUCUGACAGCAGCUGAGAGUCAACAGCAGCCCAUCUUAUCCACUUCAGAAACGAGCCCUGGCUGAUUGGACAAAUAUUUCCUAUUUACCAGCUUUUCCCCCCUCCUGGAUAAUUCUAGGGUUAAUCCACCGCACCACCUCCUCAGCCCAGCCCCGUGAUAUUGACACUUAAGAAACACAGAGCUGUUUAUAUUUCAUUGGAGAGCUCAUACUAUCAAUUUUCACAUUAGUGAGUCUAGCUAUUGCUCUCUUCUAUCGGGAUCUAUUGAGUGGUGGCAGUAGAGAUAUCCGCUGUAGUGAAGGAAAAAAAAAUACUUAGCUGUCUGAUGAAAUGUUUUAAAUGCAUAGGGUUCACCUUGGGGUUGGCUGCUGCUCAGAUUUUAUCCAUUAAUAACACGCAGGGCUGCCACACUACUCUCCAGGGCUGAUAGGAAAAAUAGUACCACUUACAGAUCCCCUGGUUUGCCUCAGGGAGAGUGCACCAAAUGCAGCACAUAUCAUACAUUUUGGGGCUGAAAUUUACUCCACAAGAGAAAAAAAAAAUCCAAACAUUAUUUAUAUUAAGAAACAAACCCAACCCUAUUCCUGCAGCACAGACAAAGGGAAGUUGUCAUGUAGUCCAGUAGUUGCAGAACUCAAGUGCUUUGCCUGGGCUAUGAAACACCUCUGGGCAAAACAGGGAUAAGAUUUCAUUGUAAAGGGACUUUUUCUUUUAGCUUACAGCCCUGCAGGUUGACAUUUCAUCCACCAGGCAGAAGAAUCUGAACUGUUAUAAGGAGCCAAAAGAGCGGACCCUCAAUCAGCCAUCAUCUUUCCAGCACAAGCAACUCAUUUAUUUAUAUUUUUUUCUACCAUUGAAACAAUUCACAGGAAAAUGAUCAUCAGAAUGAGAAUUGUUAACUGAUUAGAUUAUUGUUGGCAUUCAGUACAAGAACACAGCCAAGAGCUCAAGGAGUUUUGCAAGAGGAACUACCUUUGAAGAAAGAAGGGAAAGUAUGUACUGUGCUUGGAAAGUGAGAGGUAUCUGGCUUCAAUAUUCUUUGUCUCCAUAUCUGAAAGCUUUUCACAAGAGAUGAGAAGUAAACCAACUUUCCACUGCACUCCACCAAUACAGCUAUUGCUGCAAGCAGCCCCACUUAUUUACAGUGCCUGUUGGUGGAACCUGGCACUAGAGUUUGCACUCAGAGCACCAACAAGAUCUCCCAUCUCUUCAAAAAGAACCACUUAAAACAGAAAACUAUGGGUUUUUUUUGUUUGUUUGUUUGGUUUUUUUUUAAAGAGCUCCUUGAAACAAGCCAAACUUGCAUCUGCACACUUCUUUUUACUGCUCCAUCCCCAGGGAGCAUUUGUACCUCAUUCUCCUCCCUUAGGACUUGAAAUCAAAAUAUUUCUUUUCUGUCAGGCAGCUCACACUGAGAAUUCUGUAAGCUGUAAGCACGGACGAGUAUAUAUUUAGCUUAUCCAAACUCAGUAAGAGACUAAGUGUAGGAGAUAGCUUAGGUAUGGGGCCACGUUGCACCUAGGAGACACCUGGGCUAUAAGCAGCAUCCACCAAGUACUUCUCUAUUUUGUGCCAUACCACAAAGGACAUACACUGUUCCAGUUUCUAUCCCCCCAGUAUAUAUUGAAAUAAAGUUGUCAAACCUCUUGUCCUCUGGAGGCUCCUGGAACAGCUCAGAGCAGAUUGGUCAACCACCACAGGCCUUCAGCUGCUGCCAGCUUCCAUUUGUUUUUCAGCAGCACCUGUGAGAGAAUACACAACUGAUGUGAGCACUCACUUCUUUAUUACUCUUCUCACCAAGUGAGAAGUGCUUCAGCCCUGCUUAACACCUCCUCAGAGCUCUUCCUGCUGCUAUUUCUUCAUCCUCAGGAUCUACUAUCUAUCUAGGUUAUAGAUAUAAUCUGAAACGCAGCUCAGCUCCCAG
ensembl:lncRNA